rnacentral:misc_RNA from 1 species
AAAAAUUAUCUACCAUAAAGGUGGUGUGAUAUACCUUUUCCGUGGUCGAAACUACAACUACAUGACUCGGCCACGCUUUCCUCUCAUGUUAUGGCGGCCUGUAACUCCUGUCUACCCAAGGUUGGUUCGACGAGUUCCAGAGGGUCUGACUUUAGAGGAAGCAACUGAAAUGCGCAAAAAAGGACGCAAUCUGAUACCUAUCUGCAAGCUUGCAAAAAAUGGGGUGUAUUGUGACCUUGUAAAGAAUGUCAGAGAAGCAUUUGAAGCUUGUGAAUUGGUCUGUAUAAAUUGUCAAGGAUUGAACCCAAGCGACUAUAGGAAGAUAGGUGCCAAGCUUAAGG